rnacentral:rRNA from 1 species
AGCAGCCGCGGUAAUUCCAGCUCCAAUAGCGUAUAUUAAAGUUGUUGCAGUUAAAAGCUCGUAGUUGAAUUUUAGGCUUGGCCAGGCGGUCCGUCUUUGGCGAGUACUGUUCUGUGUCGGGUCUUUCUUUCUGGUUAACCGGUGUGCUCUUUAUUGAGCGUGCCGUGGAGCCAGGACCAUUACCUUGAAAAAUUAGAGUGUUAAAGCGGGCUAUUGCUUGAAUAGAUUAGCAUGGAAUAAUAGAAUAGGACGUUGUGGUUCUAUUUUGUUGGUUUCUAGGACCACCGUAAUGAUUAAUAGGGAUAGUUGGGGGCAUUAGUAUUCAAUUGUCAGAGGUGAAAUUCUUGGAUUUUAUUGAAGACUAACUAUUGCGAAAGCAUUUGCCAGGAUGUUUUCAUUAAUCAAGAACGAAAGUUAGGGGAUCGAAGACGAUCAGAUACCGUCGUAGUCUUAACCAUAAACUAUGCCGACUAGGAAUCGGGCGUCGUUAUUUUUCACGACUCGCUCGGGCGCCUUAUGG